UACGGGGGGGGCAAGCGUUGUUCGGAAUUACUGGGCGUAAAGGGCUUGUAGGUGGCCAACUAAGUCAGACGUGAAAUCCCUCGGCUUAACCGGGGAACUGCGUCUGAUACUGGAUGGCUGGAGUGUGGGAGAGGGAUGCGGAAUUCCAGGUGUAGCGGUGAAAUGCGUAGAUAUCUGGAGGAACACCGGUGGCGAAGGCGGCCUUCUGGACGGUGACUGACGCUGAGACGCGAAAGCGUGGGGAGCAAACAGG
rnacentral:rRNA from 1 species